GACGAACGCUGGCGGCGUGCUUAACACAUGCAAGUCGAACGGUGAAGGGAUCAGCUUGCUGGUUCUGGAUGAGUGGCGAACGGGUGAGUAACACGUGAGUAACCUGCCCCCUUCUUCUGGAUAACCGCAUGAAAGUGUGGCUAAUACGGGAUAUUCUGGGUCUGUCGCAUGAUGGGUCUGGGAAAGAUAUUGUUUCGGUGGGGGAUGGGCUCGCGGCCUAUCAGCUUGUUGGUGGGGUGAUGGCCUACCAAGGCGGUGACGGGUAGCCGGCCUGAGAGGGUGGACGGUCACACUGGGACUGAGACACGGCCCAGACUCCUACGGGAGGCAGCAGUGGGGAAUAUUGCACAAUGGGCGCAAGCCUGAUGCAGCGACGCCGCGUGAGGGAGGGAGGCCUUCGGGUUGUAAACCUCUUUCGCCAGUGAAGCAGGCCUGCUCCGUGUGGGUGGGUUGACGGUAGCUGGAUAAGAAGCGCCGGCUAACUACGUG
rnacentral:rRNA from 1 species